rnacentral:rRNA from 1 species
UACGGGGGGGGGCAAGCGUUUGUUCGGAAUUACUGGGCGUAAAGCGCGUGUAGGCGGCUCUUUAAGUCAGACGUGAAAGCCCUAGGCUUAACCUAGGAACUGCGUUUGAUACUGUAGGGCUAGAGUGUGGAAGGGGCUACUGGAAUUCCGUGUGUAGCGGUGAAAUGCGCAGAUAUCAGGAGGAACACCGAUGGCGAAGGCAGGUCUCGUGGGCGAUUAACUGACGCUGAGGAGCGAAAGCAUGGGGAGCGAACAGG